rnacentral:rRNA from 1 species
UACGUAGGGUGCGAGCGUUGUCCGGAAUUAUUGGGCGUAAAGGGCUCGUAGGCGGCUUGUCGCGUCGGGAGUGAAAACCUUGGGCUUAACUCAGGGCUUGCUUUCGAUACGGGCAGACUAGAGGUAUGCAGGGGAGAACGGAAUUCCUGGUGUAGCGGUGAAAUGCGCAGAUAUCAGGAGGAACACCGGUGGCGAAGGCGGUUCUCUGGGCAUGAUCUGACGCUGAGGAGCGAAAGUGUGGGGAGCGAACAGG